GUACUUUGUAUUUUAAGAGCCAUCUUCAGGACCUGACUCUUGAUUUUCUGACUAUCUAGAGUAGGUGUUGCUGCGUAACCACUGGGUAGCAAUCCAGCUAAAAGUGUUCUUAACUCUUAAAAACAGUGCUGGACCAUGCACAAACUACUUUUAGACACAAAGCUCUAUCAUGAAAUCAUC